rnacentral:rRNA from 1 species
GAUGAACGCUAGCGGCAGGCCUAAUACAUGCAAGUCGAGGGGCAGCGGGAGUAGCAAUACUUGCCGGCGACCGGCGCACGGGUGCGUAACACGUAUACAAUCUGCCUUCUACUGGGGGAUAGCCUUUCGAAAGAGAGAUUAAUACCCCAUAAUAAAUGAAAUAGCAUUAUUUUAUUUUGAAAGAUCCGUCGGUAGAAGAUGAGUAUGCGUCUGAUUAGCUAGUUGGUGAGGUAAUGGCUCACCAAGGCUACGAUCAGUAGGGGAUCUGAGAGGACUACCCCCCACACUGGUACUGAGACACGGACCAGACUCCUACGGGAGGCAGCAGUAAGGAAUAUUGGACAAUGGAGGCAACUCUGAUCCAGCCAUGCCGCGUGAAGGAUGAAGGCCCUAUGGGUCGUAAACUUCUUUUGUACGAGAGAAAACCAUUUCACGUGUGAGAUGUUGAUAGUAUCGUAAGAAUAAGGAUCGGCUAACUUCGUG